rnacentral:lncRNA from 1 species
AUGCCUUGCGCGCCGCGGGCCCAGAGACGUGAGGCUGUCGGCGUCCUGGUGGCCCCGCCUCGUGUCCCCCCCCGGACCCCACGCCGCGGGAGCUUGGGGGUUGCGGUCUUCUCUUCCUCCGACCUCACCUUCGAUGCGGAAGCGCAGGGGCAGUUACAGACCACUGGAUGGUGAAGAAUUCCCAUGAACCCCUGGUUCACACUGUAAGGACACACUACUCAGCAUGGGCAACAUUUACAGACUACUGGAUGGUGAAGAAUUCCCAUGAACCCCUGGUUCACACUGUAAGGACAGACUACUCAGCAUGGGCAACAUUUACAGACCACUGGAUGAUGAAGAAUUCCCAUGAACUCCUGGUUCCAACUGUAAGGACACACUACUCAGCUGUAGCCUGAAGCCGCCUCCUUACAUACUGUAAGUUUAGCCUAUAGGUUUCUCCAUACGUAGUGAACAGUCAUCUAAUUGGAUGUGUGGACACUGUAACCUACUCUUGAAUCAGUCACAGGCAGCAGCACUUCAAACUCUGUUUCAAUAAGCCAGACACGAGCUGUAGCCACCCUGCUGUUUGCAGGCCUCACCUCUGCCUUCUGUGCCUCACUCCCUUUUCUGUCCGUAAGUCUUUGGCCACACAGUGGCACUGGAGUCUCUCUGAGCCUAUUCUGGUUUGAGGGGUUCCCUGAUUCCUGAAUCAUUCUUUGCUCAAUUAAACUCUGUAAAAUUUAAUGUUUCUAAAGUUUUCCUUUGAACACUACCAACAGCGCAAGCCCAGGGUGAUGUCGGGGCCUGCGAGAGAGAAAGUAGGGGGGCCAAGGGCUCCACACUCACUGUGUGAACAGGUUUGUCUCAAAGGUUGUUGAUAUGUAUCAGCAUUCCCUAUUUGAACCUGUUCCCACCAGCAGUAUGUGAACUUUGGUUUGAAAAAAUAAUUCUGUAAAAUGGGAAGAACCGUGUGUUAUGUAUGGACUUUGAAAUACAGACCUCGAUGGAACUGACAGACUGAUCUAGGUAGACAGAUGUAGACAUCCCUAGGUGAUUACAACUCCAACCUGGAUAGAUGCCAUGUAGUCUUCCAAUUAGAGAUGCUAUACAGCCAAUGAAACUUAACCAUGUCUUUAAUAGGUGUGCCACCUUUUGUUAAAAUCAGUUAUCUUACAAGUAUCAUGAGAAAAAACAUUAGUAUCAACAGAUUGAAACAUUUAUUGGGAAGAAAGUGAGGCCACAGUCAGGAAAAAUAGCAUAAGCCACAACCUCUUAGUCAAGAAUCUUAGAAACAGCUGUGUUUCGUGUGUUUCAGAACUCUGAAUUGUUCUGAUUUUAGGAAAGUGACGUGUGCAUAUUCCACUUGGGGCCUGGGGCAACACCCUCAUCAAACUGAUAUUCCUGCAGCAAAAUACAAGCAGGACGAAAAGGAUCAUGGGUCGUCUCGUGCCAAAUCAGGUUAGACUUUCCGCCAAAUGAAGUACACAAAACUUUCCAUGUUUAGGACUAUGAAUUUGGGCCAGGCACUGUGACUCAUGCCUGUAAUCCCAGCACUUUGAGAGGCUGAGACAGGUGGAUCACUUGAGCCCGGGAGUUCAAGACCAACCUGGGCAACAUAGUGAGACCUCAUUUCUACAAAAAAUUAGCUGAGUGUGGUGGUGUGCACCUGUCUGGAGUCCCAGCUACUCAGGAGGCUGAGGUGGGAGGAUCCAUUGAGCCUAGGAGGUCAAGGCUGCAGUGAGCUGUGAUUGCACCACUGUCCUCCAGUCUGAGCAACAGAGCGAGACCCUGUCUUAAAAAAAAUGGAUACUGGGGCCACAGAUAAGAGGUAUGGGACUGUAAUGCAGUCACCUUUACGUAGUGGCUCAGGGGAAAAGGAGGAAUCCCAGUCCCCAGAAUUCUAGUUUUAUCUACGUCACGGGUGGUUUUGGUGAAACCUGGAAGGAUUCUGUGGUCACUUUUCCUCACUGAUGUAUGUUUCCUCCAAACUCAACUGUGUCAUUUGAUUAGCAUGCAAGGGUCUGUGCUAGCAAGGCCAGAACAAAAGGAGGUUAAGGGGAAGGACAGCAGUUGUAGGAAUAGAAUAUGGCCUUGGGGAGUCCAAGAUCUCCUGGGCCUGGGUAUCUGUGUGUGAACAUCAUCUGCACGUAUGUGACUAUGCUUGGGGCCCUUUAACUGUUGCACAGGCCAACAUGUGGCCCCCAAGACCCUUAUCUGACACCUUAUGUGAAAACUCAGUGGAUUAAAGACUAAACAAGAAAUAAAGGUAUACAAUUUCUAGAAGAAAACGGGAAAAAUUUAUGACAUUGGAUUUAGCAGUGAUUUAUUGGAUAUGACACCAAAGACACGGGCAACAAAAGUAAAACUAAGACGACAUCAGGCUUAGAAACUUCUGUGCAUCGAAGGACACAAUCAACCUUUCCCUUCUGUGCAGGGAAAAGGUAACCUGUGGAAUGUGAGAAAAUAUCUGCAAAUCAUAUAUCUGAUAAGGGGUUAAUAUCUGGAAUAUAUAGACAACCACCACUCAACAGUAAAACAAGUCACCUCAUUUAAAAAUGAGCAAGGGACUUCAACAGACACUUCUCUGAAGAGGAUAUACAGUCAGCACUCUAUCGAUGGGUUUUGCAUCCCUGGAUGUAACCAGCCAGGGAUUGAAAAUAUUUUUAUUAAAAAAAUGUGCCCAUGCUGAACAUGUACAGACUUUCCUUCUCAUUGUUCUCUAAACAAUAUAGUGUAACAACUAUUUACAUAGCAUUUACUUUGCAUUAGCUAUUAUAAGUAAUCUAGUGACGAUUUAAAGGAUGCAGGAGGGUGUGCAUAGGUUACAGGCAAAUACUCCCAACAUCCUUAGAUUUUGGUCCGUGGGAGGUUCUGGAACCAGUCCCCCACAGAUACCAAGGGACAGUCGUAUUUACAGAUGACCAGUAGGCACAUGAAAAGAUGCUCAAAAUCACUGACCAUUAGAGAAAUGCGAACCACAGUCACAAUGAGAUGAUCACUCCAUACUCAUGAGGAUGGCUAUGAUGAAAAACAGCAUGGAGUUAGGAUGGCUGUGAUGAAAACAGCAUGGAGGUUUUCCUCAGAGUUAGCAUGUGAUCCAGGAAUCCCACCUGUACGUAUUUACCCAAAGAAUUGAAAGCAAAGUCUAAAGAGCCACUUGCACACCAUGUUCACAGCUGCACUGUUCACAGUAGCCAAGAGGCAGAAACAACAUAGCGUCAAUCAACAGAUGAAUGGACAAGCCAGGUGGCCUGUGAGAUGGGAUAUUAUUAAGCCUUAAAAAGGAAUGAAGGCCAGGCACAGUGUCUCAUGCCUGUAAUCCCAGCACUUUGGGAGGCCGAGGUGGGUGGAUCACGAGGUCAGGAGAUCGAGACCAUCCUGGCUAACAUGGUGAAACCCCAUCUCUACUAAAAAUACAAAGAAUUAGCCGGGUGUGGUGGUGGGCACCUGUAGUCCCAGCUACUCCGGAGGCUGAGGCAGGAGAAUGGUGUGAACUGGGAGGCGGAGCUUGCGGUGAGCCGAGAUCGCGCCACUGCACUCCAGCCUUGGCGACAGAGCAAGACUCCAUCUCCAAAAAAAAAAAGGAAUGAAAUUCUGACCCAUGCUACAACAUGGGUGAACCUUGAAGAAACUAUGCCAAGUGAAAUAAGCCAGCUGCGAAAAGGCAAAUACUGUCUUUUUUUUUUUUUCUUUUGAGACAGAGUCUUGCUCUGUUGCCAAGCUGGAGUGCAGUGGCAUGAUCUUGGCUGUGCAAUACCGUCUUAUUCCCCUUCUGUGAGAUGCCUAAAGUCAAAUUUAUAGAAACAGAAAACAAAAUGGUAGUUACCAGGGCUGGGGGCAGGGUGGGCAGUUGUUUGAUGGGUACAGAGUUUUAGUUUUGCAAGAUAAAAAAAAUUCAGACCAAUAUGAAUAAACAAUGCUACUAAAGUGUACACUUAAAAACAGUUAAUAUGGUAAAUUUUAUGUAUUUUUUAACCACAAUUAAAAUGUAUUAUUAUUUUUUAUUGAGAUGGAAUCUUGCUCUGUUGCCCAGGGUGGAGUGCGGUGGUGCAAUCUCGGCUCACUGCAACCCCCAUCUCUCGGGUUCAAGCAGUUCUCCUGCCUCAGCCUCCUGAAUAGAUGGGACUACGGGCACCCACCACCAUGCCCGGCUAAUUUUUGUAUUUUCAGUAGAGAUGGGAUUUCACCAUGUUGGCCAGGCUGGUCUCAAACUCCUGGGUUCAAGUGAUCCACGCAUCUUGGCCUCCCAAAGUGCUGGGAUAACAGGCGUGAGCCACCACACCCGGCCUGGAGUUAACAUUUAAAAAGUGUAAGAGGCCUCUACUGGAAUUAGAUGAUUAUUUUUCAGACUUAUUUUUAGAGAUCACUUUGCAGAGUUCUGCUUAAUUUGUGGCAUAAUAGAAUAAAUAUUCCGAUUUCUGAACUAAAUAAUCUGAGAAUGUACUCAUUUCAUAAUGUGAACCAGAAUUGCUUGAGAAGCACAGAGGUAAUGGGAAUUAAGUACAUUUAAAAAAGCAAAUUCCAGGUCUAUUUAGAUGCUCUUUAAAGACCAUUGCCUGUGACACCUGUUUCUAAAAGUUAAUAAUCUCUAGGCCAAAAAAGAAAAGAAAAUGAAAUGUUAACCAGUUUUUACUCCCCUUGAUGACUUUCUUUUUUCCUUUUUUUACUUUCCUUUGUGAUUUCUUUGUGAGUUCUUCCUAACUUCCCAUUCAGGCCAAAAUCAUGAACAGCUUUAGAUGUUGGUUACACUGUGAAUCUUAACACUGAGAACCCACUUACCUUGCUAAGCAUCUCUGCAGAGGCAAGGAUGGUGCUUAUUGUCGGGGGCAGAUGACACUUUGCCAGCUGCUGUACCAAGUGCAUUGCAGAGCCUGGUCUCAUUUCAUCUGCACCAUGACUCACUGAGGUAGCUACGGUUUCCAGCUUACAGAUAAGAGAGGAAAGCGAGGCCUGCGGAGGUUUGGGUGCUCAGCUGCACAGCCAGGAGCGGGCAGGACUGGCAUCUGGAAGCCAGGUGGCUGACUGCAGACCCUGCUCCCGUUACCUCCGCUAGACGUCUUUGUGAUCUCAGCUGAUGAAGGGGCCGUACUCCAGGGCCGUCAAAACGAAACGGGACAGCUUUUUCGAUAAAUACAAUUUAUCUGAAUAAUGUAGGAAAUACAGAAUAUAGUUGAUGUUUUGUUUGGUGUUUUAUUUUUGCCCUCCUUACAAGAGGACUGGCAGGAAGGGGACGGAGGCCGCUAGACUGGUCUGACUUCAGGGGCAGGUGAGAAUGAUGCCUUGGGCUGGGCUCACCGUGCCUAAGUGUGCAGUACAGAGAAGGCAAGGCUCUAGGGAGGUGAGGGCAGGCUGGCGGGUGGACGCAGCUCCCUGCUUCCUGCGUUUCACAGAGCCCAGCUGGCCCCUGGUCCUGAUGCCAUUUGAAGGAAAAUGUCAGGAGCCAGAUCAGGGCAGCAAGGAGUGGAGGCUCCUUUCAUUCCUCCAUACCCACUAGCUGUCACAUAAGGCAACAGUUCUGCCCCCUCAGGGAGCUGCCUCACUCAGGCUCACGUUCAGGUUCCGAGCUUUGAACUUCAGUCAGUGUGCCAGCUGUCUGCUGAAUUUCAGUCUCAACAUACGAGGAAUGGAAGGAAAUUUCUUUAGCUUGAUAAACAGCCUCUACAAAAAACCUGUAGCUGACAUCAGACUCAAUGCUUGAAGAUGGGAGGCCUUCGCCUAAAAUCAGGAAUAAAACAAGAGCGGCUUGCCCCUUCUAGGUAAUUGUGUACAGAAGGCUCUAGCCAGGGCAGUUAGUCAAGAAAAAAAGCAUCCAAUUCAAAAGAAAGGUAUAAAACAAUCUCUAGAGAUUGUUGAAGAUGGCUUAAUCUUUUAUGUAAAAAAAGCCUAUGGCAGGGCACAAUGGCUCACACCUAUGAUCCCAGUGCUUUGGGAGGCCAAGGUGAGAGGACUGCUUGAGCCCAGGAGUUCAAGGCCAGCCAGGGCAACACAGUGAGACCCCAUCUCUACAAAACAAACAAACAAACAACCUAUGGAAUCUUUUUUUUUUGAGACGAGUUUUGCUCUUGUUACCCAGGCUGGAGUGCAGUGGCGCGUUCUCAGCUCACUGUAACCUCUACCUCCUGGGUUCAAGCAAUUCUCCUGCCUCAGCCUCCCGAGUAGCUGGGAUUACAGGCACCCGCCACCACACCUGGCUAAUUUUUGUAUUUUUGGUAGAGACAGGGUUUCACCAUGUUGGCCAGGCUGGUCUGCAACUCCUGACCUCAGGUGAUCUGCCCACCUUGGCCUCCCAAAGUGCUGGGAUUACAGGCAUGAGCCACCGCGCCCGGCUGGAAUUCAUUUUAAAAACCUUAGAAAAACCAUGUUUAGCAAUGUUGCAGGAUAUAAAUUGUGUUUCUAUAUACCAGCAAUGAGAAAGCCA